CGAUGGUUGUCGUCAGCUCGUGCGUGAGUGUCGGGUUAAGUCCCGCAACGAGCGCAACCCUUGCCUUUAGUUGCCAGCAGUUCGGCUGGGCACUCUAAAGGGACUGCCGGUGUUAAACCGGAGGAAGGUGGGGAUGACGUCAAGUCCUCAUGGCCUUUAUGACCAGGGCUACACACGUACUACAAUGGCCGAUACAAAGGGCAGCGACACUGCGAGGUGAAGCCAAUCCCGUAAAAUCGGUCUCAGUCCGGAUUGGAGUCUGCAACUCGACUCCAUGAAGUUGGAAUCGCUAGUAAUCGUGGAUCAGCAUGCCACGGUGAAUACGUUCCCGGGCCUU
rnacentral:rRNA from 1 species